GCCCAUUAGCUAGCCCCACCACCACUCACAGCAAGCAGACAUUUCUAACCCAAAAUAAACGUAACACAUCUAACCAAACCAUUUUACCCCCCUAGUAUAGGCGAUAGAAAAGGGACCCAUGGGAGCAAUAGAGACAGUACCGCAAGGGAACGCUGAAAGAGAUAUGAAAAAGACCAGUAAAGCCAUAAAAAGCAGAGACUACCCCUCCUACCUUUUGCAUC
rnacentral:rRNA from 1 species